CCUACGGGAGGCAGCAGUGAGGAAUAUUGGUCAAUGGAGGCAACUCUGAACCAGCCAUGCCGCGUGAAGGAUGACGGCCCUAUGGGUUGUAAACUUCUUUUAUAGAGGAAGAAACUUGUCUACGUGUAGACAACUGACGGUACUCUACGAAUAAGGAUCGGCUAACCCCGUGCCAGCAGCCGCGGUAAUACGGAGGAUCCAAGCGUUAUCCGGAUUCAUUGGGUUUAAAGGGUCCGUAGGCGGGUCUUUAAGUCAGUGGUGAAAGCCGACAGCUCAACUGUCGAACUGCCAUUGAUACUGGAGACCUUGAGUACAAAUGAAGUAGGCGGAAUGAGUCAUGUAGCGGUGAAAUGCAUAGAUAUGACUCAGAACACCGAUUGCGAAGGCAGCUUACUAACAUGUAACUGACGCUGAGGGACGAAAGCGUGGGGAGCGAACAGGAUUAGAUACCCUGGUAGUCCACGCCGUAAACGAUCAUCACUCGCUGUUGGCGAUAUACUGUCAGCGGCCAAGCGAAAGUAUUAAGUGAUGCACCUGGGGAGUACGCCGGCAACGGUGAAACUCAAAGGAAUUGACGGA
rnacentral:rRNA from 1 species